GCGCAGCAGGCGCGAAUCUUCCUCAAUGCCGGAAACGGUGAAGGAGCGACGCCGCGUGCUUGAAGAAGCCCCUUGGGGUGUAAAAAGCUUUUACGCAGGACGAAGUCCAGGGUUUGCUCUGGGUUGACGGUACUGCGUGAAUAAGGACCCUCCUAAUUUCGUGCCAGCAGGAGCGGUGAUACGAAAGGUCCAAGCGUUAUCCGGUUUUACUGGGCGUAAAGCGUCCGCAGGCGGUUUGAAAAGUUUUUGGUCAAAUUCCAGGGCUUAACUCUGGAGCUGCCAAAAAAGCUCUCAAGCUAGAGGGUGGCAGAGGCUGGUGGAACUCAUGGUGUAGCAGUGAAAUGCGUUGAUAUCAUGGGGAACACCGAAGGCGAAGGCAUCCAGCUGGGCCUGUUCUGACGCUGAGACACGAAAGCGUGGGUAGCGAACGGGAUUAGA
rnacentral:rRNA from 1 species